UAGAAAAGUAGUACUGGCUUAGGGGUC
rnacentral:piRNA from 1 species